AUUGAACGCCGGCGGCAGGCUUAACACAUGCAAGUCGAGCGGGGGAGGUUGCUUCGGUAUCUGACCUAGCGGCGGACGGGUGAGUAAUGCUUAGGAAUCUGCCUAUUAGUGGGGGACAACAUUCCGAAAGGGAUGCUAAUACCGCAUACGCCCUACGGGGGAAAGCAGGGGAUCUUCGGACCUUGCGCUAAUAGAUGAGCCUAAGUCGGAUUAGCUAGUUGGUGGGGUAAAGGCCUACCAAGGCGACGAUCUGUAGCGGGUCUGAGAGGAUGAUCCGCCACACUGGGACUGAGACACGGCCCAGACUCCUACGGGAGGCAGCAGUGGGGAAUAUUGGACAAUGGGCGGAAGCUUGAUCCAGCCAUGCCGCGUGUGUGAAGAAGGCCUUUUGGUUGUAAAGCACUUUAAGCGAGGAGGAGGCUACUAGUACUAAUACUACUGGAUAGUGGAUGUUACUCGCAGAAUAAGCACCGGCUAACUCUGUGCCAGCCGCCGCAGUAACAC
rnacentral:rRNA from 1 species